CAAAGAAGGUGCUAGGAAAACCAGGUCUCACAGGAACAACGACAACUCAUUUGAUACUGCUCAACUUCUGAGUUCUUCUGGGAAAAUAGGUGUUACUCCAGAUUCCAGCAUCUACAGCCUCUUGUUUCUCUAGGACUCCAUCAAUGGCAUCCAGGAGUCACCAGUCUGAGUGAAUGCAUUGGUUCGCCAUGCAGAUGCCCACUGACCAUUGCUUCACCAUCGUCUUUAAGGGCCAGAAGGAGAACAUGAACCUGGUGGCCACCUAUGCCAAGGGGGCCUGG